rnacentral:rRNA from 1 species
UACGGAGGGUGCAAGCGUUGUCCGGAAUCACUGGGCGUAAAGGGCGCGUAGGCGGCUCAUGAAGGCUGUGGUGAAAGUCCGGGGCUCAACCUCGGAUCGGCCGUGGCGACUCGUGGGCUGGAGCACUGUAGAGGCGGGUGGAAUUCCGGGUGUAGCGGUGGAAUGUGUAGAGAUCCGGAAGAACACCAGUGGCGAAGGCGACCACCUGGACUGAUACUGACACUGAGGUGCGAAAGCGUGGGGAGCAAACAGG